AGGCGUGACGGGGCCCUGAUCUCCGUCGGGGGGGGAGGUGGUGCAGAGCCAGGCGUGACGGGGCCCUGAUCUCAGUCGGAGGGGGAGGUGGUGCAGAGCCAGGCGUGACGGGGCCCUGAUCUCAGUCGGAGGGGGAGGUGGUGCAGAGCCAGGCGUGACGGGGCCCUGAUCUCAGUCGGAGGGGGAGGUGGUGCAGAGCCAGGCGUGACGGGGCCCUGAUCUCCGUCGGGGGGGGAGGUGGUGCAGAGCCAGGCGUGACGGGGCCCUGAUCUCAGUCGGAGGGGGAGGUGGUGCAGAGCCAGGCGUGACGGGGCCCUGAUCUCCGUCGGGGGGGGAGGUGGUGCAGAGCCAGGCGUGACGGGGCCCUGAUCUCCGUCGGGGGGGGAGGUGGUGCAGAGCCAGGCGUGACGGGGCCCUGAUCUCCGUCGGGGGGGGAGGUGGUGCAGAGCCAGGCGUGACGGGGCCCUGAUCUCCGUCGGG